CCUUUAAGUGAGAUUGGUGACUUGCAAUCUGUGUGUGUGUGUUUGUCAUCACAACAAGUUUCUAUGGAGCUGGAUCUGAUGUCAUGAAUAAGGGCAUUGUUUCUCUCUCCCUCACCCCUACCUUCCCCACCUUGCAAGUUCCCAAGCAUAUUUGCAGCACAGGUUUGGAUACAGAAAUGACUUCACCAGUUAAAUAUUAUUAGAUCCUAGAGUAUAUCAAAGCUAUUCAAGAAACCUGUGCUUGCUCCUGAUUGGCUUAGUUAUUGUCUUGCUAGAAUCCGCACCCUGAUUGCCUCAGGGCUCCAAGCAACAUCAUCACAGGUUUCCUGUAGCCAGUGGGCUAUGUAUGUGUGGUUUCAUCACUCAAAAGGGAGAUGAGGAUUGUCUUAUGCCUGGUUUCAUGUCUCAUUCAAAGGCAAGCUUCCUUACCUAUAACCAAUUUCAUUAUGGUCUUUUCAGUGCCAAUCAUUUUGUUCCUCUAGCUUUUGGUGCUUACCCUGCCUACGAUUCCCUGCUGAAAACACAAACGUAUAAGCUUAGUGUUCCAGAAUGUA